GAAUGUGUAGCUCAGCUGGAUAGAGCAAUCCCCUCCUAAGGGAUAGGUCGGCGGUUCGAACCCGCCCACGUUCGCCA
rnacentral:tRNA from 11 species